rnacentral:rRNA from 1 species
UGAGGAACAUGACCUUCGGCGGGGGAUAGCCGGCCCAACGGCCGGGUAAUACCGCGUACGACCACAUGGGGACAUCCCUGAGUGGUGAAAGCAGCAAUGCGCCGAUGGAGUGCCUCGCGGCCUAUCAGCUAGUUGGUGAGGUAACGGCUCACCAAGGCAACGACGGGUANCUGGUCUGAGAGGAUGAUCAGCCACAUUGGGACUGAGACACGGCCCAGAUCCGUACGGG